rnacentral:rRNA from 1 species
GCUCAGAUUGAACGCUGGCGGCAGGCCUAACACAUGCAAGUCGAACGGUAACAGGAAGCAGCUUGCUGUUUCGCUGACGAGUGGCGGACGGGUGAGUAAUGUCUGGGAAACUGCCUGAUGGAGGGGGAUAACUACUGGAAACGGUAGCUAAUACCGCAUAACGUCGCAAGACCAAAGAGGGGGACCUUCGGGCCUCUUGCCAUCGGAUGUGCCCAGAUGGGAUUAGCUAGUAGGUGGGGUAACGGCUCACCUAGGCGACGAUCCCUAGCUGGUCUGAGAGGAUGACCAGCCACACUGGAACUGAGACACGGUCCAGACUCCUACGGGAGGCAGCAGUGGGGAAUAUUGCACAAUGGGCGCAAGCCUGAUGCAGCCAUGCCGCGUGUAUGAAGAAGGCCUUCGGGUUGUAAAGUACUUUCAGCGGGGAGGAA